UUAUUUGUUUUACACAGAAAAUAAAACUGAUCCCAUCCAUCCAAUUCUAUUAAAGUGAUCUGAUUAUUAACAGUUUGAAGUUUUUCACAUUUUAAUGAGAUCUGCUGGCCAAUGGAAGGUUACAGCAGCCUCUAGACAAGGGCCUUGGCCAAACGGCUCUGUGGAGUGGAGGGGUGAGAGGGGUGUUUGUAGUGAGAUGUGUUUCUAGCCAGUGUGCCUGAGUCUGUGUGUGUCCAUGGGUAAGAGAGAUGUGCCUGUCUAUAGUGAGGUGUGUUUGUAGUGUGUGUGUGUGUGUGUGUUUAUAUUUAUGUGUGUAUGUGUCUAUGGGAUAACAGAGAUGUGCGUGUCUGUAGUGAGGUGUGUUUGUAGUGUGUGUGUGUGUGUAUAUGUGUCCAUGGGGUAAGAGAGUUGAGUGUGUCUGUAGUUAGGUGUGUGUGUGUGUAUGUUUAUAUUUAUGUGUGUGUGUGUGUGUAACUACACAGCACAGUCCGUCUCUCACUGUCUGGGACCUUUCUACCAUCGGACCAAGUUCUGCCCUGAGUACCGUGUUUGCCCUGCCCUUGAAAGAAUCCUCACGUCGGCAUCUUCCAUUCCCCCCCAGUCUUGGAAACAAGGCAUCCUUGUUCUUCCUUGAGGGAAGAAAAUAAAUGCAAUGGGGAAUUUCAAGGAGUCUUGUCUCUCAAAAACAGGUGAGAAGGUGGCGGCGGGGGGGUUGCAAUGAGCUACACAGAUAGGCUCAGAGAGACCAGGCAUGUAGAGCAGGGAGAGGCGAGCAGAGGGCAGUGGUGACGGACCAGGGAAAACGGGAGCCUCCGCAAGGAGAGAGCGAAUACUUGGAUGGUCAGAAUGGCUGCUUCCAUGUUCCAAAGAGAGACACGGGCCGUUUGCUCCGGUGUUUGGGAUGGAGUUUAUACUCCGCGCGAGGUUUAAUUUUCUGUUUCACAUUCCGGGGGCUCAGGAUGGAAGCGACAGUCCUCGUCUCCAGAGGCCGCAUGUCCGUCCAGGCCGGCAGCGAAAAUGGUCUCCAGCCCGACCCUCUGAUAGCCGUCUCAACCCCUCAUGCGGGGCAGGAGCCGCAUCCUCAUCACUCCCAGGCUGGAAUGUCUUUCCUGCAUUUCCCGAUCAGACCGAUCUCCCUAGUUUCCUGAUCGGUACCCCGAGGGGCGAGCGCUCGCCGCUGUUGCUCGGAGCCUGGGGCGGGGCGGGGGACGUGACCGGCGACAGCCAUUCCCCAUGAUCCGGACUGAUACCGGCUCCACAUGACUGCGCCCCGAGUCACGCUCUGACCAGAACCAGGGGCCCACAGUAAUGAGGACCAAGGGCGGAAGCGACAGGUCGGGUUCCCCGAGGCCACCCGUCCGUCCACCCCGGCAGCUAAAGUGUUGUGGCCGCUGUGGUCUUUCUUCCUGAAGGUGACAGGGUCAGCAUAAGCCAUGACACAUCGCGUUGCUCAUCCGUACCUUCGGCUGACUCGAUGCCUCUACGUUCAGAGAACAACAGCAUUCGUCAUUAAUGAAUCUGGGUUCAAUCCUGGAGUCAGGGGAAAGGAAUGAUGGAAACUGUUCUGCAACAAAACUGUGAUCCAUUGUCACUGACCAAGAACGCCAGUCCCCGAGAAGAGGCCUGCCAACACACCAACAACGUGCGAACAACCAAGAACAUCUUUGGCCACCCUGCAGCUGCUGCCCCAUCUCCAAGAGACCCGUGCCCACAGCCGGUCUGGCAAGAUCCACAUGAAUCCUCUGCUAGGGCAAUGCAGGCCGCUCCCCGGGAUGGAGAGGCACCAUUCCCGGCAUCCCCUGGACAGUGCAUGAGAAGCUGGUUGAUCUGCUGUUCUAUCCCAGGUCGUCCAGACAAAGCAUCGAGCCAACGCUUUCGUUUUUGACCACUCCUAGAUGGCUGACAUGCAGCUCCUCCAACACCUCAGCUCCCACCCCGGAUGGUACAACAACUCUCUUUCCCCACACACGGCUGCCUUCUUCAAGGGCAAGUUCAUCCCGGCGCUGGUAAAAAUGGGGGAUCUGGGAUUCCUGCUGCACAUUCCAGCCAUUUUGGGUGCCCAUGUGGACCUGAGACAGUGUGGGGUCUUUUCUAGUUUUCCUUUGGAUCAUCUCUGCCAUAAUAGGGAGACUUUCAAUUUGCAUUAGGGAGAAUAUGUAAGAGGAAUGUCGGCUUUUAUAAAUUUUUCAGGUAUUUUCUUUUCCGAGGGUCAACGGGACAAUCCUUCAGUGUUUCCGUGAUUAGUUGUCCUCUUGAAUUCAAUCUUGUAACUGUGUCCUCCAAGAAACGGAGUCCAUCUCUGCGUUUGUGUUGUUGCUGUUAGUGUAACACCCUCUUGUGGAUUGAAAAUGAGACACUACCGGCUGAUGAUCGUUAAUGAGGGUAAACUCUCUCCCAUACAUGUACUGGUUGAAACGUUUUACACUCCAAACUAGACUCAAGGCCUCUCUGUCAAUCUGUGCAUAUUUUUUCUCUGCAUCUGUAAGGGAACAUGAUGCAAAGGUUAUGGGUCGUUCACUACCAUCAUUCAUAACGUGAUGUGACUGCACCUAUACCACAAGGCGAGGCACCACAGUUUCACGGUCACGCGAGGCGUGCUGUUCCAGGACACGUGAACCGCUUUCCGACUUCGGGAAAGGUGACUUGUGCUUUUCCUGUGCUCGAUGGAGCGUCGCUCGCCUUUCUGCACAAACACGAGCAAGUCUGCAGUCGCUGGAAGUCCAAAGCAUCGCACACAAGAGUUGUGGAGGAACUCAGCAGGCCAGGCAGCAUCGUUGGAAAAGAGUACAGGCGUCGGUUCGGGCCGAGACCCUUCGGCAGGUCCAGCACUUUUUGUGUGUGUUCCCGCAUGUGUCUGCUCCGUUCCUGCCUCCGUGCAGACGGAACAGAGGACAUUAAGAGCUUCAGGUACUGAAGGCCUAACCCAUCAGUGUGCUGCUCAUUGGCGGAGGAGCUGGACUUGGCAUGGACUCUGUUACUGCCUGCAACUGAAAGGCAUUGGAGUCAGCUCACGAAGGCAGUGUGCUGUCUAACAGCUAGUGUUUGUCUUGGGUGUUUGUCUUGUGAUCACAGGACCCGACUGGACAUUGGUAAUGUAAAAUGCUGCAAGUUUGUUUCCCUUGUUUAUUAGCAAGACGGAUGGUGGGGAAGCUGUGUGGCCUCGGAUGUAGCAAGGACUCGGCCUCAAGCUGCGGGCUUGCCUGUUGGAACAGUGCAGACGGGGAAACAGCAUGCUGGGUUAGGGUCUGGCCCCUCCUGUUGGUCCUGCCCUCCAGUGUUCGCCCUGUGGAAGGCAAGCUGGAUUCAAUGUGUACGUGCAUACAAUUGUCUGCGAACUGCUGAGACGUACUGAUAACACCCAGGCGCCAUCAAUUUACAGGACAUAUCACUCAGGGACUUCGGCUACGUAUAUCCUUUCUGUGACUGCAUGUUCACUGCUAUCUUAUAUGUGCUUUGUGCUGUGUAUGACUGUUGGUACUGUGUUUUGUACCUUGGCCCUGGAGGAACACGGUUUCAUUUGACUAUUUAUGUAUGGUUGAAUGACAAUUAAACUUGAA